CAAAUCAGCCCUAAUUGGAAGCGAUUCAGCGGGCCGUAGCUUGUAGAAGUCUCUCCAGGUUUCACUCUCAAGGAAGGGCGACGCUGACAUAGCAGGAAGAACUGCUCUCCAAGAUACAGAAAAGGGGAAAGUAUUCUGGAUGGUAGUCACAGACUGCUCUAAAACAACUAGAGAGCUGCCUCGCAAAAUUUGUAGUGCAAAUUUCGACUGAUGGUGAUGUUUCGUUUCAUGCAUUGUUCUGGAAAGUCUGAACUAGCAGAUAAUGUUCUCCUGGUGGUCCCUGGACAGGAUGAGGUAUGUGGUGCAGGGGGCCCUGGAGAGGACCUUAUCAGCGGUGGAACCUUGGUGUGGCAGUCCCUCCCUACCUGAAGUGUCUGGCUUUAUUUCUCUACAGCUGGCUGGCCAGGACGCAUCUUACUGGGCAGGCAUUUGGAUGAGGACAGCCCUGAUUGCUGCGUCUAUUGUUAAGCCUUUCUUUUCGUUGUGCUUUCAAUGGAUUGCGUCAUUUUUAUGGAUUUUAUUCCAUUUGUUUUUUCUUGUAAAGCAUCAUGUGGCCGCCUGUGCAAAGGGUGAUAUAUAAAUUAUCUAUGUGCCAACUAAGUUUUACUCAUUGUGGACCUAUUGAAAUUAAUGGGCCUAAGUUACUUGGGUCCAUUGAUUUCAGUGGGUUUGCUCCGAGUAAGACUAACAUUGGGGACAACCCUAGUAGUGUUAACCACAGCUUUCGUAACUGAAUGAAUGUGAAGGUGGAAGGCAGGCUAACUACUGGAAAACUAGGCCGGCCUGCUGGCAAUCACGUUAAUAAAGUGGAUAAGGAAGAAACGGUUUGCCACUUCACCACAAUGAGAUUGAACUGCAAAUCUGAAAUUGCUGGCUUAAACAUCCCCACUGCCAUUAACUCAGUUAAGUGGCCCUUUACCUCUCUGCCUUCCCACCUAUAAUACAACAACCCUACCUUACUGUAAGGAUCAUAGCAAGAUAGGACUGGAUGCAUCUAUUAAUUUCCAUUUCUCUCGUGUGUGUUUUUCAUUUUUCCAAGCUUAAGUGCAGUCUUCCACAUUUCUGCAU